CUCUGUUUAGUUUUUCCUGAAACGAUUGCAUGGGUGCAAAUUUGUCCAGGUCGAGACGCCACAUGGACGUAUCACAAAAUCGACCAAAAACAUUACAAACCAAUUUUCUUUUUCCAGACAAACUGAUUCGGACAAUCUAAAAAUGUAUGCUGUACACAAUACACUAAAUACCUCGGGUGUGGGAAAUGGACAAUACCCAUGGGAAUUAGCAAGAUUUCCUAUGUCCGGUUGCAUGGCUACCCAAAAUAACAUAUUUUUGUGCAAUUGCCAUGUAAAGGAGUAGCAACUGCUCCUGCACAUGGUCUGUUUCAUGGUGAAAGACUAAAGCAACUGAAAGGUUGCUCACGCCCUUCAGAAAACGGAUCAUUUAGAUAAUUAUCUACAUCAUGGGCACAUAAGGAACAGUUUAUGGCAUACAGACAUAAAUGUUUAUCUGGUUAAAAUUUUAUUUAUGGCAGAAAUUCAUUAAAGUCUUUUUAUAUCUCGA